rnacentral:rRNA from 1 species
UACAGAGGUCUCAAGCGUUGUUCGGAUUCAUUGGGCGUAAAGGGUGCGUAGGCGGCGUGGUAAGUCGGAUGUGAAAUCUCGGAGCUUAACUCCGAAACUGCAUUCGAUACUGCCGUGCUUGAGGACUGGAGAGGAGACUGGAAUUUACGGUGUAGCGGUGAAAUGCGUAGAUAUCGUAAGGAAGACCAGCGGCGAAGGCGGGUCUCUGGACAGUUCCUGACGCUGAGGCACGAAGGCCAGGGGAGCAAACGGG